AUAGGGGAGCCGGAGGGAAACCGAGUCUUAAUUGGGCGUUAAGUUGCAGGGUAUAGACCCGAAACCCGGUGAUCUAGCCAUGGGCAGGUUGAAGGUUGGGUAACACUAACUGGAGGACCGAACCGACUAAUGUUGAAAAAUUAGCGGAUGACCUGUGGCUGGGGGUGAAAGGCCAAUCAAACCGGGAGAUAGCUGGUUCUCCCCGAAAGCUAUUUAGGUAGCGCCUCGUGAAUUCAUCUCCGGGGGUAGAGCACUGUUUCGGCUAGGGGGCCAUCCCGGCUUACCAACCCGAUGCAAACUGCGAAUACCGGAGAAUGUUAUCACGGGAGACACACGGCGGGUGCUAACGUCCGUCGUGAAGAGGGAAACAACCCAGACCGCCAGCUAAGGUCCCAAAGUCAUGGUUAAGUGGGAAACGAUGUGGGAAGGCCCAGACAGCCAGGAUGUUGGCUUAGAAGCAGCCAUCAUUUAAAGAAAGCGUAAUAGCUCACUGGUCGAGUCGGCCUGCGCGGAAGAUGUAACGGGGCUAAACCAUGCACCGAAGCUGCGGCAGCGAACGUAUCACCCAAGACAACUUUACGGAGUUGACGAUUGACGGAGCGAAGCGACGUCAAAGCGUUCAUUAAAGUCGAGUUGGCUUAGGGAUACGUUCGUUGGGUAGGGGAGCGUUCUGUAAGCCUGUGAAGGUGUGUCGUGAGGCAUGCUGGAGGUAUCAGAAGUGCGAAUGCUGACAUAAGUAACGAUAAAGCGGGUGAAAAGCCCGCUCGCCGGAAGACCAAGGGUUCCUGUCCAACGUUAAUCGGGGCAGGGUGAGUCGACCCCUAAGGCGAGGCCGAAAGGCGUAGUCGAUGGGAAACGGGUUAAUAUUCCCGUACUUGGUGUUACUGCGAAGGGGGGACGGAGAAGGCUAUGUUGGCCGGGCGACGGUUGUCCCGGUUUAAGCGUGUAGGUGUGUGUUCCAGGUAAAUCCGGUUCACUUUAACACUGAGGCGUGACGACGAGGCACUACGGUGCUGAAGCAACAAAUGCCCUGCUUCCAGGAAAAGCCUCUAAGCAUCAGGUAACAUCAAAUCGUACCCCAAACCGACACAGGUGGUCAGGUAGAGAAUACCAAGGCGCUUGAGAGAACUCGGGUGAAGGAACUAGGCAAAAUGGUGCCGUAACUUCGGGAGAAGGCACGCUGACACGUAGGUGAAGUGAUUUACUCAUGGAGCUGAAGUCAGUCGAAGAUACCAGCUGGCUGCAACUGUUUAUUAAAAACACAGCACUGUGCAAACACGAAAGUGGACGUAUACGGUGUGACGCCUGCCCGGUGCCGGAAGGUUAAUUGAUGGGGUCAGCGCAAGCGAAGCUCCUGAUCGAAGCCCCGGUAAACGGCGGCCGUAACUAUAACGGUCCUAAGGUAGCGAAAUUCCUUGUCGGGUAAGUUCCGACCUGCACGAAUGGCGUAAUGAUGGCCAGGCUGUCUCCACCCGAGACUCAGUGAAAUUGAACUCGCUGUGAAGAUGCAGUGUACCCGCGGCAAGACGGAAAGACCCCGUGAACCUUUACUAUAGCUUGACACUGAACAUUGAGCCUUGAUGUGUAGGAUAGGUGGGAGGCUUUGAAGUGUGGACGCCAGUCUGCAUGGAGCCGACCUUGAAAUACCACCCUUUAAUGUUUGAUGUUCUAACGUGGACCCGUUACCCGGGUUGCGGACAGUGUCUGGUGGGUAGUUUGACUGGGGCGGUCUCCUCCUAAAGAGUAACGGAGGAGCACGAAGGUUGGCUAAUCCUGGUCGGACAUCAGGAGGUUAGUGCAAUGGCAUAAGCCAGCUUGACUGCGAGCGUGACGGCGCGAGCAGGUGCGAAAGCAGGUCAUAGUGAUCCGGUGGUUCUGAAUGGAAGGGCCAUCGCUCAACGGAUAAAAGGUACUCCGGGGAUAACAGGCUGAUACCGCCCAAGAGUUCAUAUCGACGGCGGUGUUUGGCACCUCGAUGUCGGCUCAUCACAUCCUGGGGCUGAAGUAGGUCCCAAGGGUAUGGCUGUUCGCCAUUUAAAGUGGUACGCGAGCUGGGUUUAGAACGUCGUGAGACAGUUCGGUCCCUAUCUGCCGUGGGCGCUGGAGAACUGAGGGGGGCUGCUCCUAGUACGAGAGGACCGGAGUGGACGCAUCACUGGUGUUCGGGUUGUCAUGCCAAUGGCACUGCCCGGUAGCUAAAUGCGGAAGAGAUAAGUGCUGAAAGCAUCUAAGCACGAAACUUGCCCCGAGAUGAGUUCUCCCUGAGACUUAGAGUCUCCUGAAGGAACGUUGAAGACGACGACGUUGAUAGGCCGGGUGUGUAAGCGCAGCGAUGCGUUGAGCUAACCGGUACUAAUGAACCGUGAGGCUUAACCUUACAACGCCGAAG
rnacentral:rRNA from 2 species